rnacentral:misc_RNA from 1 species
GGGUUCAUUCAGUUCCUCUCUAACUCCACACUGUCUACAAACCAUCAUCUUCUUGGAUGGUCUGCAGCUUGGUCUAAAAUUUAGGAUUUGUUCAAGGAGGCACUUAUAAGGGAUGUCGAGUGGGAGCUAUACACACUGGUGCCACAGAUGCAGGCAGCCAAUUCGGCCUCGAGGAACUACUUGUCUUUGUCCAAAUUGUGGCGGAGGUUUCAUUGAAGAGCUCGAUGACAUGGUAGGUACUAGAUCUAAUAUUGAGUCUGAUCCUCAUUUUGGAUUGAUGGAUCCUUUCCCGGACCCAAGAUUUGGUAUAAUGGAUGCCCUUGCUGCAUUCAUGAGGCAGAGAAUGGCAGGAAGAAACCCAAACUUUGACAUUAGGACAAGAUCUGGUGUUGUUCCUGGAAGUGGGAGGGGUUUUGGUUCUGGUCCAUGGUUGAUAUUUCAUGGCCAAACUCCUGUUAGUAUGACCGAAAAUGAUGCAUUUGAGUACUUUUUCUCCAAUGGAAGCCCAGCAAUGGGGCAUCGGCGACCAAAUUUUGAUGAUUUGAUGGGGCCUGGGCUGCAACAGUUAAUUGAGCAGCUCAGUGUGAAUGAUCGGCAGGGGCCUCCCCCGGCACCUCGUUCUGCAAUAGAUGCUUUGCCUACUGUCAGAAUCACUCAAAGGCACCUCAGCAUUGAUUCUCAGUGCUCAGUUUGUCAAGAUAACUUUGAAUUAGGUGCUGAAGCAAGGCAAAUGCCAUGUAAGCAUCUUUACCAUUCAGAUUGUAUCGUACCAUGGUUGGUUAGGCACAACUCGUGCCCUGUUUGCCGUCUUGAGCUGCCUUCACGAGCUUCUGCGAGUGCCCCAGCCAAUUGGAGUUCCAGAACUGGAAACGUUAGCAAUGGCAGCAACGGUAGUAGCAGGGAGAAUAGCAGUCAGAACCAAGGGAGGAGGAAUCCUUUUUCAUUCUUGUGGCCUUUUCGCUCGUCCAACCAAAACACUAGCAACUAUCCUGAGAGGGGAGGAGGAAGUAGCUCAACAUCACCCUAUGAAGAGAACAAUGAAGCAAAUUACCCUGCGUGGCGCUUUUAAUUAUAGAAAUUUUCUUUCCAGCAUCUUGGAUUUUGCCUACUUUCCAGCAUCUUGGAUGUAGUGGAAGUGUUUUUACACAAUAUGUUGUAACAUGGGAUGGAAGUUGUUCUUCAAAGGUGUAUAGGUGGGAGACAUCUUGAAAUGGUUUAAGGGAAUUCUGUAAAUGAUGUUCUCAAAAU